rfam:Anopheles farauti strain FAR1 unplaced genomic scaffold supercont2.67, whole genome shotgun sequence.
AACUAAUCAUGCUCUGCGAAUGGGGUAGGAUCCGACGCCUCACCGAAGGCUAACAUAGGCUCUCCUACCCAAAUCUCCCAUUCCGGUACGUCCCCGUCGUGCAGAGCGGCCAACAUGCGCCCACCGAAUGUGUCAAUUGUUUGACGGCGGUACCUUCGGUUGGCGCAUGGCUAAGCCGGAGGGA